GUGACUUAUAGCGACUCCGGCUCCAUUUAUAUGUCACCAUUCCGUCCGUAAUUUUGAAAUACCUUCAUCCAUGUGUCUACUACGUAUGCGUGUGAUAUUUGUGAGGUGCAUAUGUGAUUUGUGUAUGUGCGUGUGCGCAUUGGAGAGGUCGUCCACAUCUCUCGUCUGCAUGGCUCUUAGCGCGGAGCCUUUGAUGUGCUUUUAGAAUGGCCGUACAGCUCUCUGCUUUACCUCUCGCUUGACAAUUGUUUAUUAGUUUUGAAACGGCUUUAGUGGACAUCAGGCUCUCUGGGAUGGCGAGUUUUAGAAGAGGACAACUCAACAAUUCACCACGACUCCUCCUCUGGUGCAGGAACCUGGACGGAGGCUCGUGGAGACCAUUGGAGGGCCAAGGGAGACUCUGGGACGGAUGAGGCAGGAGACCAUAAACACACAUGAGCAUCUCUCUCACUGUCAAGGCAUCCUGGGCUGUGAUUGGCUGAGGGCUGCACUGGCACCGGCGUCUAUUGGCUGGGCUGAGGAUGAAUGGCUGUGCUGACAGCCAAUGGGGCCAAACGAGGGAGUGCCGAAAAAUCCUGUGAUGGAUGCGGAUCUGAGCCUUGCCCUCAUUCCCUCCCCCUCUCCCUCUCUCUCUCUCUCUCUCUCUCUCUCUCUCUCUCUCUGUCUCCAUCUCGCUUUCUCUGCUCAUCAGACUGUCUCUCGUCAUCCUUAUUAGUCCAGAUGAAGAUGGAUAUGAGCAGUCAGUUAUUUAUGGAUGAUGGCGGAGCUCUGGACCUCUCUUUCAAUUCUUUAAUGUUCUAACUGAGACCUGAGCAUGUUUCACAUUACCUGUUUAAGUAUUAUUCAUGUCCACAAUGGAAAUUGCUAUUUUUCCACAGCUCUUUUAUCUUUGUCUUUUAUAUUAAGGUUCAGGAUUUACAGUGAAAUAUACAUUUCAUUACUCAUUUAAAUGGCAAUAUGUUUCAGUAAAAACAGAUUGUGUAAAAUGCGAAGCCCUUUUCCACAAUAAUGUCUAAAGUUCACUCAAAGCUACGUAGAACAAAGAGAAUAUAUUUCAAAAGCUACAUGAACCACUUUUAUGUCGUUUUUGAUUUGUUGUCUAAUGGAUCAUGCUUGUUAUGUUAUUUUUUAUGAAAAAGCAGCAUUGAGCAAAUAGUCCUUUAGCAAAUUUUAUAGCAAAAAGCUGUGAAAAAUGUUUACACUCAAAUCUUGCAUCUUCAUAGCUCAGGUUGUGUUUCAUUCAAGUAUCAACUUAUUCUCAGAGGUGUCUCCUAAAAUUGUUGAAAAAUAAAAACUGAAACAA